rnacentral:rRNA from 1 species
AUACGUAGGGGGCGAGCGUUGUCCGGAAUGAUUGGGCGUAAAGGGCGCGUAGGCGGCCCGGUAAGUCUGGAGUGAAAGUCCUGUUUUUAAGAUGGGAAUUGCUUUGGAUACUGUCGGGCUUGAGUGCAGGAGAGGUAAGUGGAAUUCCCAGUGUAGCGGUGAAAUGCGUAGAGAUUGGGAGGAACACCAGUGGCGAAGGCGACUUACUGGACUGUAACUGACGCUGAGGCGCGAAAGUGUGGGGAGCAAACAGGAUUAGAUACCCUGGUAGUCCACACUGUAAACGAUGAAUGCUAGGUGUAGGGGGUAUCGACCCCUUCUGUGCCGCAGUCAACACAAUAAGCAUUCCGCCUGGGGAGUACGGUCGCAAGAUUAAAACUCAAAUGAAUUGGCGGGG